GAACGCUGGCGGCGUGCUUAACACAUGCAAGUCGAACGAAGCACUCUAUUUGAUUUUCUUCGGAAAUGAAGAUUUUGUGACUGAGUGGCGGACGGGUGAGUAACGCGUGGGUAACCUGCCUCAUACAGGGGGAUAACAGUUGGAAACGACUGCUAAUACCGCAUAAGCGCACAGGAUCGCAUGAUCCGGUGUGAAAAACUCCGGUGGUAUGGGAUGGACCCGCGUCUGAUUAGCCAGUUGGCAGGGUAACGGCCUACCAAAGCGACGAUCAGUAGCCGACCUGAGAGGGUGACCGGCCACAUUGGGACUGAGACACGGCCCAAACUCCUACGGGAGGCAGCAGUGGGGAAUAUUGCACAAUGGGGGAAACCCUGAUGCAGCGACGCCGCGUGAGCGAAGAAGUAUUUCGGUAUGUAAAGCUCUAUCAGCAGGGAAGAAGAAUGACGGUACCUGACUAAGAAGCCCCGGCUAACUACGUGCCAGCAGCCGCGGUAAUACGUAGGGGGCAAGCGUUAUCCGGAUUUACUGGGUGUAAAGGGAGCGUAGACGGCGCAGCAAGUCUGAUGUGAAAGGCAGGGGCUUAACCCCUGGACUGCAUUGGAAACUGCUGUGCUUGAGUGCCGGAGGGGUAAGCGGAAUUCCUAGUGUAGCGGUGAAAUGCGUAGAUAUUAGGAGGAACACCAGUGGCGAAGGCGGCUUACUGG
rnacentral:rRNA from 1 species